rnacentral:rRNA from 1 species
UACGGGGGGAGCAAGCGUUGUUCGGAUUUAUUGGGCGUAAAGGGCGCGUAGGCGGCCACGCACGUCCGUUGUGAAAUCGCUCGGCUCAACUGGGCGGGGUCAGCGGAUACGGUGUGGCUAGAGCAAGCUAGGGGGCAAUGGAAUUCCCGGUGUAGUGGUGGAAUGCGUAGAUAUCGGGAGGAACACCGAGUGGCGAAGGCGGUUGCCUGGAGCUUUGCUGACGCUGAUGCGCGAAAGCGUGGGGAGCGAGUCCGG